rnacentral:tRNA from 1 species
UAAGGAGUAGUUUAACUGGAAAAACGAAGAACUUUGACUUCUUUGUCGUGGGUUCAAUUCCCACCUCCUUAA